GAAGUUCGAUAAGCAAUGCGAAUUGCAGAAUUCCGCGAAUCAUCAGAUCUUUGAACGCAAAUGGCGCCAGAGGGAUAUCCUUCUGGCAUGUCUGUUUCAGUGUCUGAGAGGUUUCACACUAAUCUUAAUGUGAUUGAAUUCGAGUUAGUUAGUUUAAUUACUAGCUCUCUCUCUUUUCUCUCAUGAAAGAUGCGCGAGGGGAUCUUUCGGUCCAAUGAAGUGGUCACAUCACUCGAAUGUGAUUUCAUUGGAAGCACCGAAUUAUCAUUUAACAACUCGCGGUAUCAUUAAACUAAUAAAAAGUGAUACUUUUUGGUAUCAUUUUUUUCUCUCUACACCCUGCAUCUGAGAUAGGCAAGAUCACCCGCUGAACUUAAGC
rnacentral:misc_RNA from 1 species